CGCCAAAAUCAAACUCUUCGUAAAUUUUGCUGCAUUUUGGUGUAAAGUAUGGUGUACUUUUUGGCGAAAUAAGUCCGUCAAAAUGCGUGUGAAGCUAGGUUAUAUUUUGCGGUUAGUAUCCUCGAUAGCUACUACGCUAGAUGAAGCAGUAAGACCGAAUACUGGAGAAGUAUCUUCGACUGAAGCUCUCAGCUCUGCCUUCGUUCGUACAUCGUAUAAGCAAGUAAGAAUAUAUUCAUUAUUUUACAAUAAAAGUUGUAUUGCGGAAUUGCGGCAGAUUUUAGUAUUUUUU